rnacentral:rRNA from 1 species
AUUGAACGCUGGCGGCAGGCCUAACACAUGCAAGUCGAACGGCAGCGGGGGGUAGCUUGCUACCCCGCCGGCGAGUGGCGGACGAGUGAGUAAUGCCUGGGGAGCUGCCCAAUCGAGGGGGAUACCAGUUGGAAACGACUGCUAAUACCGCAUACGCCCUGAGGGGGAAAGGUGGGGAUCUUCGGACCUACCGCGAUUGGAUGCACCCAGGUGGGAUUAGCUAGUUGGUGAGGUAACGGCUCACCAAGGCGACGAUCUCUAGCUGUUCUGAGAGGAUGACCAGCCACACUGGAACUGAGACACGGUCCAGACUCCUACGGGAGGCAGCAGUGGGGAAUAUUGCACAAUGGGGGAAACCCUGAUGCAGCCAUGCCGCGUGUGUGAAGAAGGCCUUAGGGUUGUAAAGCACUUUCAGUGGGGAGGAAAGGGUGGAAGCUAAUACCUUUCAUCUGUGACGUUACCCACAGAAGAAGCACCGGCUAACUCCGUGCCAGCCGCCGCCGUAA